UAUUGCAGGGCUAAUCGGACAGAAGAAAUGAUUUGAAACAAAAGUCAGGAUAGCAAAAUACUGAAGCCCUUAGAAUGAUUCAAACUGAAAGAGGAAGAGGAAGAGAGAUAGACAACUUAAAGUCUUACACCCACAGCCCAUUGUGACAAUUCUGAGAGGAAGUCGCAGGAGCCUGUAUCAGAAAAGAAAUAUAAAGUAAGCCAAGCUUCAUUUAGGCUACUCUCGGAAAUUAAAUCUAGAGCAUGAACUGUGUGGUAAGCUUGUAAAGGGUGAUUGUUCAGUCAUUUAUUAGUUUAAGCAGCUGUUUUGACAUAUGGGCAUGUUUAUCUUGAUGGUGGGUACCAACAUAUACGUAUCAAACAGAAAUGUAACCUUUUCUUCCAUAAAGCCAUAUACAGUGUUCAAACAUGUUAUGUUGCCCAAUAUAAAGGAAAUUAAAUUACCUUUGUGUUGUGUCUUGUUUACAGAGAAACUAUGUUCAGGGCCCCUUUAAGAGAUAUUCAGCCAAUUUCCUUAUAAGGCAAUCUCUGGAUGUGUCACAUGGUAUAGUACUUUGGCCAAGGCAAAGUCACAUGACUCUUUAAAGCGGAAAUUAGAAAGAGUGAUUGAGACUCUCUGCUUUUCUUUCUCCUUUCAUUGCAUUUAUUCAGUAGGAUUCUAAUUCCUUUUAACGCAUUAUUGUCUCUUUACUGUAUAUAACAUAGGAGACUAGAAAUACACAAUAAGAUUACAUACAAAAACAUUAUAAAUGGCCUACUGUCUCCACCUAUCAGACCUAAAGUACCCUAUAUGGAAACAUUGUCAGGUAACACACGCUCAUGCAAAGAUCUGAUGAGAUCUACUGGUGGAUGCUGCUCAAGCAAUGGGAACAGGUACAGACCUUUGCGAUGUGUUUUCCGUGUAUGGCAAUGGGUCAGUCCUGCUUAAUCCUAAGAGCAGUUCAAAGCUCAGUGCUUUGCAUUUAGUUGAGAUAUGUGGUAAAAGCCAACAUUAUAUUUCCUAAUUAGGCCACUACUGUAACAACAAGGGCGAAACUGCAAAGAGCUGAAUUUCAACAUGCACAAUAUAAUCUGCAGAGAGAUCUGUUGAGUCUGAGUAACACUUAUAGAUCAUGCAAGAUUUUAAGGAUAUGUAAUACUUUCAUGACAGAAUGGGUUUGG